rnacentral:tRNA from 1 species
GCCCGGCUGGCUCAGUUGGUAGAGCACAUGACUCUUGAUCUCAGGGUCGUGAGUUCAAGCCCCACAUUGGGUG